rnacentral:rRNA from 1 species
UUGAACGCUGGCGGCAGGCCUAACACAUGCAAGUCGAACGGUAACAGGAAGCAGCUUGCUGUUUCGCUGACGAGUGGCGGACGGGUGAGUAAUGUCUGGGAAACUGCCUGAUGGAGGGGGAUAACUACUGGAAACGGUAGCUAAUACCGCAUAACGUCGCAAGACCAAAGAGGGGGACCUUCGGGCCUCUUGCCAUCGGAUGUGCCCAGAUGGGAUUAGCUAGUAGGUGGGGUAACGGCUCACCUAGGCGACGAUCCCUAGCUGGUCUGAGAGGAUGACCAGCCACACUGGAACUGAGACACGGUCCAGACUCCUACGGGAGGCAGCAGUGGGGAAUAUUGCACAAUGGGCGCAAGCCUGAUGCAGCCAUGCCGCGUGUAUGAAGAAGGCCUUCGGGUUGUAAAGUACUUUCAGCGGGGAGGAAGGGAGUAAAGUUAAUACCUUUGCUCAUUGACGUUACCCGCAGAAGAAGCACCGGCUAACUCCGUGCCAGCAGCCGCGGUAAUACGGAGGGUGCAAGCGUUAAUCGGAAUUACUGGGCGUAAAGCGCACGCAGGCGGUUUGUUAAGUCAGAUGUGAAAUCCCCGGGCUCAACCUGGGAACUGCAUCUGAUACUGGCAAGCUUGAGUCUCGUAGAGGGGGGUAGAAUUCCAGGUGUAGCGGUGAAAUGCGUAGAGAUCUGGAGGAAUACCGGUGGCGAAGGCGGCCCCCUGGACGAAGACUGACGCUCAGGUGCGAAAGCGUGGGGAGCAAACAGGAUUAGAUACCCUGGUAGUCCACGCCGUAAACGAUGUCGACUUGGAGGUUGUGCCCUUGAGGCGUGGCUUCCGGAGCUAACGCGUUAAGUCGACCGCCUGGGGAGUACGGCCGCAAGGUUAAAACUCAAAUGAAUUGACGGGGGCCCGCACAAGCGGUGGAGCAUGUGGUUUAAUUCGAUGCAACGCGAAGAACCUUACCUGGUCUUGACAUCCACAGAACUUUCCAGAGAUGGAUUGGUGCCUUCGGGAACUGUGAGACAGGUGCUGCAUGGCUGUCGUCAGCUCGUGUUGUGAAAUGUUGGGUUAAGUCCCGCAACGAGCGCAACCCUUAUCCUUUGUUGCCAGCGGUCCGGCCGGGAACUCAAAGGAGACUGCCAGUGAUAAACUGGAGGAAGGUGGGGAUGACGUCAAGUCCUCAUGGCCCUUACGACCAGGGCUACACACGUGCUACAAUGGCGCAUACAAAGAGAAGCGACCUCGCGAGAGCAAGCGGACCUCAUAAAGUGCGUCGUAGUCCGGAUUGGAGUCUGCAACUCGACUCCAUGAAGUCGGAAUCGCUAGUAAUCGUGGAUCAGAAUGCCACGGUGAAUACGUUCCCGGGCCUUGUACACACCGCCCGUCACACCAUGGGAGUGGGUUGCAAAAGAAGUAGGUAGCUUAACCUUCGGGAGGGCGCUUACCACUUUGUGAUUCAUGACUGGGGUG